GUACGCAGUAAUGUGUUAAGUUGCCCAUGCAGUCACAUCAUGCUCUUUGUGACACUGACCAUCAUGGCUGCCAUAGUCACUAUUCACACAAGGAGGAACCGCCCACCCAAGGCUCUGCCCCCACAAGCAGAAGAAGCCUCUGGUAUUGAGGUCCAUGUCCUGGAGGAAUGACCCCUUGUUCCUCUUCUCCCUGUGCUGGACUAAGACUUUCAAACUGUCUGUAGCUUUAUUGAUUCAGUAACAGAGGACAGUAUAAAUGUUUUUUUAAAGUUGAUGUUUAUAUAUUUUAGUGCAUAGUGUGGAAAGAUGUAUUAAUUCGUAGUUGUGUUUUAGUAUAGUAUCUUUUUAUACACCUUUAUGUAGUAGGAUUCAAAAUAUCAGUAAACCUUGGCUGAUGUGUUAAUUUUUUCUGUCCAUUGUUAAUGAACUCAGCAUGAGAAAUUCCUUGGUAUUGUUUAAUUAAUCAUUUGUGUCCUAAGCAGACUUAAAUGAGGCACAAUGCUUCUUCUAAAAUGUAUAUUAAUUACUAAAACUGUUUUUAAAUAAACAUAAAAAAUACAGUAUUUCAAACUGCUACAGGUGUUUUUCAGGCUACCCUUCCACAAUGUCAGGUAAAGCAUGAAUACAUUGACCUUAUUUCAUUUACAACCUUCUUCUAGUCAGCAGGCAAAGAUAGAUUUGUCUGUCCUUUUUCUGAAAGCCUACUCAGAAUUUAUAUGACAAAAAUAAAGAAUUUUAAGCACUU